CCUACGGGAGGCUGCAGUGAGGAAUAUUGGUCAAUGGGCGGAAGCCUGAACCAGCCAAGUAGCGUGCGGGAUGAAGGCCCUACGGGUUGUAAACUGCUUUUGCACGGGAAUAACACCCCUUACUUGUAGAGCUCUGCAUGUACCGUGCGAAUAAGGGCCGGCUAAUUCCGUGCCAGCAGCCGCGGUAAUACGGAAGGGCCGGGCGUUAUCCGGAUUUAUUGGGCUUAAAGGGAGCGUAGGCCGUCCGUCAAGCUCGCUGUGAAAUCUCCGGGCUCAACCCGGGCCCUGCAGUGGAAACUGGAGGCCUGGAGUGCAGGACAGGCAGGCGGAAUUCGUGGUGUAGCGGUGAAAUGCAUAGAUAUCACGAGGAACCCCGAUUGCGAAGGCAGCUUGCUGGAGUGUAACUGACGCUGAGGCUCGAAAGCGCGGGUAGCAAACAGGAUUAGAUACCCGUGUAGUC
rnacentral:rRNA from 1 species